AACGCCUUAAUGCUACGG
rnacentral:misc_RNA from 1 species